ACCUGGGUGGCUCAAUUAAGCGUCUGACUAUGGCUCAGGUCAUGAUCUGGUGGUUUGUGGGUUCGAGCCCCACUUCAGGCU
rnacentral:tRNA from 1 species